GUUUCGAAUUACCGAAGUUCGGAAUUGGCGAAGUUCCAAAUUGCCUUAGUUCCGAAUUGCCGAAGUUCGGUAGUUCGGAAGUGCCAAACCGAACUGAAUGCAAUUGGUCCGAAUUGCCGAAGCAGACUAAUUUUUUUACUUACCUGAGUAAGUACAGUUGCUAUUUGUGUCUUCCUUUGACAUUGCUUUCCUGGCAGUAUAGUAUCCCUUUAACUCAAGUGAUAGGUGUUUUUUAC